CAAGAGCUUGGUCCUGACUUUACUAUCAACUUUGGCCAAAUUUACACAUGCAAGUAUCCGCACUCCCGUGAGAAUGCCCUACAGUUCCCCACCCCGGGAAUAAGGAGCUGGUAUCAGGCACAACCUAUUGUUAGCCCACAACACCUUGCUCAGCCACACCCCCAAGGGAAUUCAGCAGUGAUAAACAUUAAGCCAUAAGUGCAAACUUGACUUAGUUAACGCCAAUACAGAGCCGGUAAAACUCGUGCCAGCCACCGCGGUUAUACGAGAGGCUCAAGUUGAUAGCCACCGGCGUAAAGAGUGGUUAAGAAACCUUUUACUAAAGCCGAACAUUUUCAAAGCUGUUAUACGCACCCGAAAACAUGAAGAACCCUUACGAAAGUAGCUUUAAACAUUCUGAACCCACGAAAGCUAGGAUACAAACUGGGAUUAGAUACCCCACUAUGCCUAGCCCUAAACAAAAGUAACAGUCUUACACCUGUAACUCGCCAGGGAACUACGAGCAUAAGCUUAAAACCCAAAGGACUUGGCGGUGCUUUAGAUCCACCUAGAGGAGCCUGUUCUAGAACCGAUAACCCCCGUUCAACCUCACCCUCCCUUGUCUCUCCCGCCUAUAUACCACCGUCGUCAGCUUACCCUAUGAAGGCCCCAUAGUAAGCAAAAUUGGUAUAACCCAAAACGUCAGGUCGAGGUGUAGCGUACGAGAGGGGAAGAAAUGGGCUACAUUCACUGAUACAGUACACACGGACGAUAAAUUGAAAUAAACAUCUGAAGGAGGAUUUAGCAGUAAGAAGGAAAACAGAGUGUUCCCCUGAAACCGGCCCUGAAGCGCGCACACACCGCCCGUCACUCUCCCCAAGCCACACUUCACCCAUAAAUAAAACCCAACAAUUGCAAAGGGGAGGCAAGUCGUAACAUGGUAAGUGUACCGGAAGGUGCACUUGGAAAAAU
rnacentral:ncRNA from 1 species